UAAACGACAUACCACGAAAAUCUUACCUAUUUUUAAAUAUGUUUGUAUACCGUCAUUAUCAGAUAACUUUGAUAAAAUUAGUUAUUAUAAUUAAAAUAAGUUAAAUAAAUUAGAUCAAGGUGCAGCAUAUAAAUAGGAGAAAAUGGGUUACAAUAAAAAUGAUUUAAACGGACUUGUUUUUGAAAUUUAAACAAUAAAGGUGGAUUUAAUUGUAAGAUUAUAAAUUUUAAUAUUCUGAUAUAGGCUCUAAAAUAUGUACAUAUCGCCCGUCGCUCGCGGGAAA
rnacentral:rRNA from 1 species